ACCCGUCUCCCCGAGCCCCGCUUCUGCAGCCCCGAGCUGGGGAGCCCCCCUACCUGGCCGGCCGACUUGGCGCAGGGGAGGUGCUGAGUCGGCGGAGAGCCCGAGUGGGAAUGCGGCAGGUCUGCUUUGCGGUACCCUGGCGCGAGCCGCGGCCGCCGCAGCAUCCGAAGGGCGCCGGGGCCAGCGCGCCACCCUUGCCCCUGGUCCUGCUUCCUUCAGUCGGCCAGUUGCUUUACUCGGCAGCUACGGCGGAAAUGUCCAUUCCCUACGCCCAUGCUCACCCGUGGCCGGCAGCUUGGAGACGCCACUCUGUCUCUUGUCUCUCUCUGUGUGUGCGGGGAGUUCCGGAGGCUGCGGAUCGGAAGAGCAAAAUGCCACCCUCUCCGGAGCUCUGAAGCGAAUGACGAUACGGAGCGCUUUCGCCCCCUCCCAGCACCGUGGGAGCCCUUGAUUCGAUCCCGAAGGAGGCGAGUGAGCUAGGGCCUGGAUCUACAGGGCUCGCGGGUCUCCCCCGCCGCCUCCAGUACACCCCCGCGCGCGGACCUCGGCGAGGCUACGCGGAGCGCUGGGAGCCGUUCGCAGCGCCGAGUGGGGCAGGGUGCGUGCGGCGCGGGUCCCCUCGGUCCAUUUCUGGGCGCUGCUAGAUCAGCAG
rnacentral:lncRNA from 1 species